rnacentral:rRNA from 1 species
UGGGGAAUAUUGGACAAUGGGCGCAAGCCUGAUCCAGCCAUGCCGCGUGAGUGAUGAAGGCCCUAGGGUUGUAAAGCUCUUUCACCGGUGAAGAUAAUGACGGUAACCGGAGAAGAAGCCCCGGCUAACUUCGUGCCAGCAGCCGCGGUAAUACGAAGGGGGCUAGCGUUGUUCGGAUUUACUGGGCGUAAAGCGCACGUAGGCGGACUUUUAAGUCAGGGGUGAAAUCCCGGGGCUCAACCCCGGAACUGCCUUUGAUACUGGAAGUCUUGAGUAUGGUAGAGGUGAGUGGAAUUCCGAGUGUAGAGGUGAAAUUCGUAGAUAUUCGGAGGAACACCAGUGGCGAAGGCGGCUCACUGGACCAUUACUGACGCUGAGGUGCGAAAAGCGUGGGGAGCAAAACAGGAUUAGAUACCCUGGUAGUCCACGCCGUAAAACGAUGAAUGUUAGCCGUUGGGGAGUUUAACUCUUCGGUGGCGCAGCUAACGCAUUAAACAUUCCGCCUGGGGAGUACGGUCGCAAGAUUAAAAACUCAAAGGAAUUGAACGGGGUCAUAGCUGUUUCCU